UUUGGUUAAGUUACUAAGGGCAUACGGUGGAUGCCUUGGUACGAGAAGUCGAUGAAGGACGCGACAACCUGCGAAAAGCUACGGAUAGGUGGAAAUAACCUGAGACCCGUAGAUCUCCGAAUGGGACAACCCAAUAGAAGUAAUGUUCUAUUAUCUGCAUCUGAAUCCAUAGGAUGCAUGAAGACAACCCAGUGAACUGAAACAUCUAAGUAGCUGGUGGAAGAGAAAACAAUAGUGAUUUCCUGAGUAGUGGCGAGCGAAACGGAAAGAGCCUAAACCGUCUGACAUGUUAAAGGCAGUAACCGUUGUGUCAGCGGUGUCGCGGGAAGCUUUAGACCGAAUUACUGUUAGGUCAAAGAGUCAAAAAUUAUAUUAUUAACCGAACAAUCUGGAAAGUCUGACCAAAGAAGGUGAUAGUCCUGUAGGUGAAAAUAAUGUAACUCUUUAAGCUUUUCCCAAGUAACACGAAGUAAGUGGAAUUUUGUGUGAAUCCGGGAGAACCAUCUCCUAAGGCUAAAUACUCUCUCGUAACCGAUAGCGCAGCAGUACCGUGAGGGAAAGGUGAAAAGUACUCCUAACAGGAGGGUGAAAUAGUACCUGAAACCGUAUGCUUACAAACGGUUGGAGUCCCGAUUUAUCGGGAUGACAGCGUGCCUUUUGUUUAAUGAGCCAACGAGUUACUCGUAUGCAGCAAGGUUAAGCUUUUAAGAAGCGGAGCCGAAGCGAAAGCAAGUCUGAAAACGGGCGUUUAAGUUGCAUGCGGUAGACGCGAAACCGGGUGAUCUACCCUUGUCCAGGAUGAAGUGAGGGUAAAACCUCAUGGAGGUCCGAACUAGUGUGGGUUGAAAACCGCUUGGAUGAGGUGAGGGUAGGAGCGAAAGACCAAUCAAACUCGGAGAUAGCUCGUAUUCCCCGAAAUAGCUUUAGGGCUAGCCUCGAGUAAUAGUGUAACGGAGGUAGAGCACUGAUAGGGCUAGGGCUGUCACAACGGUACCAAACCCUGACAAACUCCGAAUACCGUAUACAUGUUUCUCGGGAGUCAGGCAGUGGGAGAUAAGUUUCAUUGCCGAGAGGGAAACAACCCAGAUCAACAACUAAGGCCCCUAAAUAGUAGUUAACAGAUAAAGGAUGUUAGAUUGCUUAGACAACUAGGAUGUUGGCUUAGAAGCAGCCACUCAUUUAAAGAGUGCGUAAUAGCUCACUAGUCAAGCGAUCUGGCGUCGACAAUUCUCGGGACUUAAACUACUUGCCGAAGUUUUGGAUGUCAUUUAAUUAUGACGUGGUAGGGGAACAUUCUAUUCUGCAUCGAAGGUGUGUCGUGAGGCAUGCUGGAGCGGAUAGAAAAGCAAAUGUUGGCAUAAGUAACGAUAAGACAGAUGGAAAAUCUGUCCACCGAAAAUCUAAGGUUUCCUGAGCAACGUUAAUCGUCUCAGGGUUAGUCGAUCCCUAAGCUGAGGCCGAAAGGCGUAAGUGAUGGCAAACAGGUUAAUAUUCCUGUACCUGGUAAUAUUCGUUUGACCGUAAGGAGGGACGCAGAAGUGAAGGUUAGCCACCUGUUGGAUUAGGUGGUCUAAGUAUGUAGGUGGAGAAGGCAGGCAAAUCCGCUUUCUCUUACACCGAGAUAUGAAUGGGAGAGCUUAGCUCACAAACUAACCGUAAGCAUGCUGCCAAGAAAAUCUUCGUACGGGAGAAUCUUAUCAGAUCGUACCGCAAACCGACACAGGUAGAUGGGAUGAAUAUUCUAAGGUGCUCGAGUGAGCCGUGGUUAAGGAACUCGGCAAAUUAACCCCGUAACUUCGGGAUAAGGGGUGCCUCAAGUAGGUCUAGGGAUUUACUCCUGAAGCCGAAAGAGGCCGCAGAGAAAUGGCCCAAGCGACUGUUUAACAAAAACACAUGUCUGUGCGAAGUCAAUUAAGACGAUGUAUACGGACUGACACCUGCCCGGUGCUGGAAGGUUAAGGGGAGAGGUUAUCGUAAGAGAAGCUUUGAACCGAAGCCCCAGUAAACGGCGGCCGUAACUAUAACGGUCCUAAGGUAGCGAAAUUCCUUGUCGGGUAAGUUCCGACCUGCACGAAUGGUGUAACGAUUUGGGCUCUGUCUCAACCACGGGCUCGGUGAAAUUGUGGUACCGGUGAAGACGCCGGUUACCCGCAUAUGGACGGAAAGACCCCGUGCACCUUUACUGCACCCUAGCAUUGGGUUCGGAUAAAGCAUGUGUAGGAUAGGUGGGAGGCUUUGAAGCCGGGGCGCUAGCUUCGGUGGAGCCAAUGGUGAAAUACCACCCUUGCUUUAUUUGGAUUCUAACCACGACCCAUGAAUCUGGGUUUGGGACAGUGUUAGGCGGGUAGUUUGACUGGGGCGGUCGCCUCCUAAAGAGUAACGGAGGCUCUCAAAGGUUCCCUCAGCACGGUUGGUAAUCGUGCGGCGAGUGUAAAGGCAAAAGGGAGCUUAACUGCGAGACCUACAAGUCGAGCAGGUGCGAAAGCAGGACUUAGUGAUCCGACGGUAGCGAGUGGAAGUGCCGUCGCUCAAAGGAUAAAAGGUACGCCGGGGAUAACAGGCUGAUCUUGCCCAAGAGUUCAUAUCGACGGCAAGGUUUGGCACCUCGAUGUCGGCUCAUCGCAUCCUGGGGCUGAAGAAGGUCCCAAGGGUUUGGCUGUUCGCCAAUUAAAGCGGUACGUGAGCUGGGUUCAGAACGUCGUGAGACAGUUCGGUCCCUAUCCUAUGCGGGCGCAGGAUACUUGAGAAGGGUCAUUCUUAGUACGAGAGGACCGGAAUGAACGUACCUCUAGUGCACCAAUUAUCACGCCAGUGGUAUCGUUGGGUAGCUAUGUACGGUUGUGAUAAGCGCUGAAAGCAUCUAAGCGCGAAGCACGCUUCAAGAUGAGGUAUCCCUCACUUUAUGUGACUAAAGACUCCUCGGAGAUGACGAGGUUGAUAGGCUGCAGGUAUAAGCCCAGUAAUGGGUUCAGCCGAGCAGUACUAAUAAGUCGUGAGACUUAAUCAAUUAUAUUUU
rnacentral:rRNA from 1 species